UACGAAGGGGGCUAGCGUUGUUCGGAUUUACUGGGCGUAAAGGGCGCGUAGGCGGUGCGGUACGUCCGGCGUGAAAGCCCCGGGCUCAACCCGGGAAUAGCGCUUGAUACUGUUGCGCUUGAAUCCAGGAGAGGAUGGCGGAAUUCCCAGUGUAGAGGUGAAAUUCGUAGAUAUUGGGAAGAACACCAGUGGCGAAGGCGGCCAUCUGGCCUGGAAUUGACGCUGAGGCGCGAAAGCGUGGGGAGCAAACAGG
rnacentral:rRNA from 1 species